UACGUAGGAUGCAAGCGUUGUCCGGAAUUAUUGGGCGUAAAGAGCUCGUAGGCGGUUCGGUAAGUUGGGUGUGAAAACUCCAGGCUCAACCUGGAGACGCCACCCGAUACUGCUGUGACUAGAGUCCGGUAGGGGAGCGUGGAAUUCCUGGUGUAGCGGUGAAAUGCGCAGAUAUCAGGAGGAACACCAGCGGCGAAGGCGGCGCUCUGGGCCGGAACUGACGCUGAGGAGCGAAAGCGUGGGUAGCAAACAGG
rnacentral:rRNA from 1 species